UGCCAGGCCACGGGCGCCGCUGCCGCACUUCCGGGCGCCGUUCCAGGUGAGCCAGGGUGUCCCAAGAAUCCCCCACACUCCCCUCACCCCAAAAUAAGGGAUUCUUCUCUCCAAGCUCCCACCCAGAGGUGCCCAGUACUGGGGCUAGGGUUCCCAGGCGGAGGCCGUGUAGCCAUUGGAGGAGGCAGAGACACUCGGAUGCCCGGGUCCCAGCGAGGCCCAACCGGCUCCCCAAUCGCGAACCUGCCCUGCUGCGCUGCGGAGGUCGUGCCUCAGGUUUCCAGGAGAAUCUGGCUGCCCGGAAGCGGAGCAUGACUCCUCCCCUUCGUCCCCUUGGUCCCCGCCAGGCGGCGCCAUUGGCCGGUCCAGGAUUCCCCUGUGGCUUCGAGCCCUUGUCACCUAAGGGCGUUGAAAUUACUGAGGAGAGAGAUGCAGAAACGGCCGGUCAGAGAGCAGUCUACCACUUAGAAUAAAGUUUCCCUUGUGACUGUCAUUUUUCAGCAGUAGGAUUUCCUGGUAUAUAUAUAAACGUUCCUGUCCUCUCUCUACCUACAAAGGUCCUGAUUCAAUAGGUCUGGGGUGGGGCAUGGAAAUAGCAUUUUUAACAUCAGCUCCAGGUUGAUUGAUGCCCAGAGUCUAGGACCUCACCUUCAGAACCAUUGCGAUGGGUUGGUUUGGGGACUCUUUAAGUCCAGGAAGGCUUCUAAGAGGAAGAUUCUACCUGGGCUUUGUAUUCAGGGACCAGAAUAUCCAUUGUUUCUUUGUCCCCAUCGUGAUGCAUUUCCUCCCCUCGCCCCUACCAGGAUGCAGAAAAUCUCAGUGCUGCUCUUCCUGGCCUGGGUCUGCUUCCUCUACUAUGCUGGCAUUGCCCUCUUCACCAGUGGCUUCCUGCUCACCCGUUUGGAGCUCACCAACCACAGCACCUGCCAAGAGCCCCCAGGCCCUGGGUCCCUGCCAUGGGGGAGCCAAGGGGAACCCAGGGCCUGUUGGAUGGCUUCCCGAUUCUCCCGGGUUGUGUUGGUGCUGAUAGAUGCUUUGCGAUUUGACUUUGCCCAGCCCCAGCGCUCACACAUGCCUGGAGAGCCUCCUGUUUCCCUACCCUUCCUGGGCAAACUAGGCUCCCUGCAGAGGAUCCUGGAGACUCAGCCCCACCAUGCCCGGCUCUACCGAUCUCAGGUUGAUCCCCCUACCACCACCAUGCAGCGCCUCAAGGCCCUCACCACUGGCUCACUGCCUACUUUUAUCGAUGCUGGUAGUAACUUUGCCAGCCACGCCAUAGUGGAAGAUAAUCUCAUUAAGCAGCUCACCAGUGCAGGAAGGCGUGUAGUCUUCAUGGGAGAUGAUACCUGGAAAGACCUUUUCCCUGGAGCUUUCUCCCAAGCCUUCUUCUUCCCAUCCUUCAAUGUCAGAGACCUACACACAGUGGACAAUGGCAUCCUGGAACACCUCUACCCCACCAUGGACAGUGGUGAAUGGGAUGUGCUGAUUGCUCACUUCCUGGGUGUGGAUCAUUGUGGCCAUAAGCAUGGCCCUCACCACCCUGAAAUGGCCAAGAAACUUAGCCAGAUGGACCAGGUGAUCCAGGGACUUGUGGAGCGUCUGGAGAAUGACACACUGCUGGUGGUAGCUGGGGACCACGGGAUGACCAUGAAUGGGGACCAUGGAGGGGACAGUGAGCUGGAGGUCUCAGCUGCACUGUUUCUGUACAGCCCCACAGCCCUCUUCCCCAGUGCCCCACCAGAGGAGCCAGAGGUGAUUCCACAAGUCAGCCUUGUGCCCACACUGGCACUGUUGCUGGGUCUACCCAUCCCAUUUGGGAACACUGGGGAGGUGAUGGCUGAGCUGUUCUCAGGGAGUGAGGACUCCCAGCCCCACUCCUCUGCUCUAGCCCAGGCCACCGCCCUUCAUCUCAAUGCCCAGCAGGUGUCCCGAUUUCUUCAUACCUAUUCAGCUGCUACUCAGGACCUUCAAGCUAAGGAGCUUCAUCAGCUGCAGAACCUCUUCUCUAAGGCCUCUGCUGACUACCAGUGGUUUCUGCAGAGUCCCCAGGGGGCUGAGGCGACACUGCGGACUGUGAUUGCUGAGCUACAGCAGUUCCUGCGGGGAGCUCGGGCCAUGUGCAUUGAGUCUUGGGCUCGUUUUUCUCUGGUCCGCAUGGUGGGAGGCGCUGCUCUCUUGGCUGCUGCCUGCUUUCUCUGCUUGCUGGCAUCCCAGUGGACAACAUCCCCAGGUUUCCCCUUCCGCCCUCUACUCCUGAUACCUGUGGCCUGGGGCCUGGCUGGGGCCAUAGUGUAUGCUGGACUCCUGGCAACUAUUGGGUUGAAGCUGGAUCCAGUGCUUCUAGGGGCUGCGGCUGCAAUGAGCUCACUCCCCCCUUUUCUGUGGAAAGCCUGGGCUGGCUGGGGGCCUAAGAGGCCCCUGGCAAUGCUGCUCCCCUUCCCUGGGUCUGUCUCGUUACUCAUGCUCUUUCGCUUGGCAGCAUUCUUCUCUGAUAGUUUUGUUGUAGCUGAGGCCAGGGCCACCCCCUUCCUUUUGGGCUCAUUCGUCUUGCUCCUGGUUGCCCAGCUUCACUGGGAGGGCCAGCUUCUGCUACCUAAGCUGGUCACAGUACCUCGCCUUGGUUCUUCAUCCUCAGCAGGCCUCCCACGGUAUGGUGGGGCAUAUGCCCUGAGGCUUGGAAUUGGGUUGCUUUUAUGUACAAGGCUAGCUGGGCUUUUUCAUCGCUGCCCUGAAGAGACACCUGCUUGCCACUCCUCUCCCUGGCUGAGUCCUCUGGCAUCCAUGGUGGGCGGUCGAGCCAAGAAUUUGUGGUAUGGAGCUUGUGUAGGGGCACUGGUGGCCCUGUUAGCUGCUGUACGUCUGUGGCUUCAGCGCUAUGGUAAUCUCAAGAGCCCUGAGCCUCCCAUGCUCUUUGUGCGCUGGGGACUGCCCCUAAUGGCACUGGGCACUGCUGCCUACUGGGCACUGGCUUCGGGGGCAGAUGAAGCACCCCCACGUCUCCGGGCCCUGGUUGCUGGGGCAUCAGUUGUACUACCUAGGGCUGUGGCAGGACUGGCUGUUUCAGGGGUUGUGCUGCUACUCUGGAAGCCUGUGACAGUGCUGGUGAAGGCUGGGACAGGUGCUCCAAGGACGAGGACUGUCCUCACUCCCUUCUCAGGCCCCCCAACUACUCAGGCUGACCUGGAUUAUGUGGUCCCUCAAAUCUAUCGACACAUGCAGGAGGAGUUCCGGGGCCGGCUAGAGAGGACCAAACCUCAGGGUCCCCUGACUGUGGCUGCUUAUCAGCUGGGGAGCGUCUACUCAGCUGCUAUGGUCACAGCCCUCACCCUGUUGGCCUUCCCACUUCUGCUAUUGCAUGCAGAGCGCAUCAGCCUUGUGUUCCUGCUUCUGUUUCUGCAGAGCUUCCUUCUCCUGCAUCUGCUUGCUGCUGGGAUACCCAUCACCACCCCUGGUCCUUUCACUGUGCCAUGGCAGGCAGUCUUAGCUUGGGCCCUCAUGGCCACACAGACCUUCUACGCCACGGGCCACCAGCCUGUCUUUCCAGCCAUCCAUUGGCACGCAGCCUUUGUGGGAUUCCCAGAGGGUCAUGACUCCUCUACCUGGCUUCCUGCUUUGCUAGUGGGAGCCAACACCUUUGCCUCCCACCUCCUCUUUGCAGUAGGUUGCCCAUUGCUCCUGCUCUGGCCCUUCCUGUGUGAGGGUCAAGGGCUUCGGAAGACACGGAAGCCCCCAGGGAAUGAAGCUGAAGCCAGAGUCAGGCCUGAGGAGGAGGAGCCACUGAUGGAGAUGCGGCUCCGGGAUGCACCUCACCACUUCAGUGCAGCACUGCUGCAGCUGGGCCUCAAGUACCUCUUUGUCCUUGGCGUUCAGAUCCGUACCCUGCCAUGCAUUUGGGGAUCACUGCCUCAGUGGACAGACUGGAAAAGCUGAGAUUCUGGCCUGCGCCUUGGCAGCCUCCAUCCUCCGCAGGCAUCUCAUGGUCUGGAAGGUGUUUGCCCCCAAGUUCAUUUUUGAGGCUUUGG